CACGUAGGCACCAAGCGUUGUCCGGAUUUAUUGGGCGUAAAGCGCACGUAGGCGGCACGUUAAGUCGGGUGUGAAAGCCCUGGGCUCAACCCAGGAAGUGCAUUCGAAACUGGCGCGCUUGAAUAUGGAAGAGGGUCGCGGAAUUCCCGGUGUAGAGGUGAAAUUCGUAGAUAUCGGGAGGAACACCAGUGGCGAAGGCGGCGACCUGGGCCAAUAUUGACGCUGAGGUGCGAAAGCGUGGGGAGCAAACAGG
rnacentral:rRNA from 1 species